GACGAACGCUGGCGGCGUGCUUAACACAUGCAAGUCGAACGAAGAGCGAUGGAAGCUUGCUUCUAUCAAUCUUAGUGGCGAACGGGUGAGUAACGCGUAAUCAACCUGCCCUUCAGAGGGGGACAACAGUUGGAAACGACUGCUAAUACCGCAUACGAUCUAAUCUCGGCAUCGAGGAUAGAUGAAAGGUGGCCUCUACAUGUAAGCUAUCACUGAAGGAGGGGAUUGCGUCUGAUUAGCUAGUUGGAGGGGUAACGGCCCACCAAGGCGAUGAUCAGUAGCCGGUCUGAGAGGAUGAACGGCCGCAUUGGGACUGAGACACGGCCCAGACUCCUACGGGAGGCAGCAGUGGGGAAUCUUCCGCAAUGGACGAAAGUCUGACGGAGCAACGCCGCGUGAGUGAUGACGGCCUUCGGGUUGUAAAGCUCUGUUAAUCGGGACGAAAGGCCUUCUUGCGAAUAGUGAGAAGGAUUGACGGUACCGGAAGAGAAAGCCACGGCUAACUACGUG
rnacentral:rRNA from 1 species